AUUGAACGCUGGCGGCAUGCUUUACACAUGCAAGUCGAACGGCAGCACGGGUGCUUGCACCUGGUGGCGAGUGGCGAACGGGUGAGUAAUGUAUCGGAACGUAUCCGGAAAUGGGGGAUAACGUAGCGAAAGUUACGCUAAUACCGCAUAUGCCCUGAGGGGGAAAGGUGGGGAUCGCAAGACCUAUCGUUUUCGGAGCGGCCGAUAUCAGAUUAGCUAGUUGGUGGGGUAAAGGCCUACCAAGGCGACGAUCUGUAGCUGGUCUGAGAGGACGACCAGCCACACUGGGACUGAGACACGGCCCAGACUCCUACGGGAGGCAGCAGUGGGGAAUUUUGGACAAUGGGGGCAACCCUGAUCCAGCCAUGCCGCGUGAGUGAAGAAGGCCUUCGGGUUGUAAAGCCCUUUCGGCCGGGAAAAAAUCGCAUGGGUUAAUACCCUGUGUGGAUGAUGGUACCGGAAUAAGGAGCACCGGCUAACUACGUGCCAGCAGCCGCAGUAAUAC
rnacentral:rRNA from 1 species